GCCAGCGCGGGGCGGGCGGGUCCCGGCUCCGCUCGGCUCCCGGCGGGCUCCGUCCCGCACCAUCCCCGGCACUCCAGGGCAAGAGGAGCAGCGCAAAAGACCCGCCUGGAAAGACGAGCGGACAAAACCGCAAGAAAUCGCUGCCAGCUUAGAGGGGCACACAGCCAUCCCGCAGGACAGGGGGCGGGGAGGGGGGGGCACCCAAAACCCAACCCAAAACCCAACCCAGCCCCACGCGAAGCACAGCGGCGCUUACAUCCUCCUCCUCGCAGUCACUUCGCGACUGGUACUGGAAGCGGGGCCGGCCGCCUUCCUGUUGCAAUGGACGCGGGGUCUUGCCGGCAGCGCCGUCCUCCUCGCUGCUCUGGGCGCCCAGGAGGCCUGUUCUCUGAGUUUGAUCCAGAAAAGACACCAGACAUGGAAGAAAGGGGUGAUAAACCAGCAGCUGUGCCAUUCUGCUAACCCACAGCAUUAG
rnacentral:lncRNA from 1 species